AUUGAACGCUGGCGGCAGGCUUAACACAUGCAAGUCGAGCGAGCGGCGGACGGGUGAGUAAGGUCUGGGAAACUGCCUGAUGGCGGGGGAUAACUCCUGGAAACGGUAGCUAAUACCGCAUACCAUCAGAUGUGCCCAGAUGGGAUUAGAUAGUAGGUGGGGUAAUGGCUCACCUAGGCGACGAUCCCUAGCUGGUCUGAGAGGAGGACCAGCCACACGGGAACUGAGACACGGUCCAGACUCCGACGGGAGGCAGCAGUGGGGAAUAGUGCACAAUGGGCGCAAGCCUGAUGCAGCCAUGCCGCGUGUGUGAAGAAGGCCUUCGGGUUGUAAAGCACUUUCAGCGAGGAGGCGUUACUCGAAGAAGAAGCACCGGCUAACUCCGUGCCAGCAGCCGCGGUAAUAC
rnacentral:rRNA from 1 species